GACGAACGCUGGCGGCGUGCCUAAUAAAUGCAAGUUGAGCGCUGAAGGUUGGUACUUGUACCAACUGGCUGAGCAGCGAACGGGUGAGUAACGCGUGGGGAAUCUGCCUUUGAGCGGGGGACAACAUUUGGAAACGAAUGCUAAUACCGCAUAAAAACUUUAACCACAAGGUUUAAGUUUGAAAGAUGCAAUUGCAUCACUCAAAGAUGAUCCCGCGUUGUAUUAGCUAGUUGGUGAGGGAAAGGCUCACCAAGGCGAUGAUACAUAGCCGACCUGAUAGGGUGAUCGGCUGCAGUGGGACGGGGACACGGCGCAAACACCUACGGGAGGCAGCAGUAGGGGAACUUCGGCGAUGGACGAGAGUCGGACCGAGAAAAGGCCGGUGAGUGGCGGAAGCAUUCGGAUCGUAAAAAUAUGACUGUAGAGAAGAGCGGUGGGGAUAGUGAAAAGCUCAACAAGUGACAGUAACAACCAAGAAAGCAACGGCUAACUACGUG
rnacentral:rRNA from 1 species